GACGAACCACACGAACGUUAUUCGGAAUUACUGGGCUUAAAGGGUGCGUAGGCGGCGCAGAAAGUUGGGUGUGAAAUCCCUCGGCUCAACCGAGGAACUGCGCCCAAAACUACUGUGCUUGAGGAAGAUAGAGGUAAGCGGAACUUACGGUGGAGCGGUGAAAUGCGUUGAUAUCGUAAGGAACACCUGUGGCGAAAGCGGCUUACUGGGUCUUUUCUGACGCUGAUGCACGAAAGCCAGGGGAGCAAACAGG
rnacentral:rRNA from 1 species